AUUGAACGCUGGCGGCAGGCCUAACACAUGCAAGUCGAACGAGUGGCGGACGGGUGAGUAAUGUCUGGGAAACUGCCCGAUGGAGGGGGAUAACUACUGGAAACGGUAGCUAAUACCGCAUACCAUCGGAUGUGCCCAGAUGGGAUUAGCUAGUAGGUGGGGUAAAGGCUCACAUAGGCGACGAUCCCUAGCUGGUCUGAGAGGAUGACCAGCCAACCCGGCAGUUAGAUACGGUCCAGACUCCUACGGGGGGUAGCAGUGGGGAAUAUUGCACAAUGGGCGAAAGCCUGAUGCAGCCAUGCCGCGUGUAUGAAGCAGGCAUUCGGGUUGUAAAGUCCUUUCAGCGGGGAGGCGUUACCCGCAGAAGAAGCACCGGCUAACUCCGUGCCAGCAGCCGCGGUAAUAC
rnacentral:rRNA from 1 species